GUGACAGUGGGUUUCUCCAGUUCAACCGUUUCUCUGGAGCUGCUGAGCAUUCCAGAAUUCCUUCCUCUGAGAGCGGGACAGGAUCCUCUCUAGAAUGUUGAUCUUAUGACCUACAGUCAAACAAGGAUUAGCAAAUGUGGCAUUGCUUUCCCAUUAGGAUUAGCUGUCAACCAUCAGCUGUAAUAGUAGAAAAAUCACAGCUGUUCUCCAAGCAAGCCCAGAAGAUGAUGCUAGGAAGUUACUAUCAGUUUCUA
rnacentral:lncRNA from 1 species